UACGUGGGGUGCAAGCGUUGUUCGGAAUUACUGGGCGUAAAGCGCGUGUAGGCGGCUGAACGGGUCGUAUGUGAAAGCCCUCGGCUUAACCGAGGAAGUGCGUACGAAACUAUUUAGCUCGAGUACGGGAGAGGAGGGUGGAAUUCCCAGUGUAGAGGUGAAAUUCGUAGAUAUUGGGAGGAACACCGGUGGCGAAAGCGGCUCUCUGGACCGUAACUGACGCUGAGACGCGAAAGCGUGGGGAUCAAAC
rnacentral:rRNA from 1 species